rnacentral:tRNA from 1 species
UGGCCCAGUGGGUAGAGCACAGGGUUUGCAAUCCUGAGGUCCGGGGUUCGAUCCCCAG